rnacentral:misc_RNA from 1 species
AAGUCGUAACAAGGUAACCGUAGGUGAACCUGCGGUUGGAUCAUUUACGAUCUGCACCCUGACAAAGGGUCGAUCCACAACUGUGCACCGUAAACGUUCUUGGCGGCUGGGAAGCUUCUCCCGAGAUGCGACCCGACGUUCCGAGGUGGAUGUCGAUCUGCGAGGGUCCGAUGUUCCUCCGAGGGCGUAUGCCGUCUGUGAGACAAACACCUUACACUUUUGACUGAUCAUAUGUCACCUAGCGUGAUGCAAAUGAAAACAACUUUCGACAAUGGAUCUCUUGGCUCUC